rnacentral:rRNA from 1 species
AAAUUGAAGAGUUUGAUCAUGGCUCAGAUUGAACGCUGGCGGCAGGCCUAACACAUGCAAGUCGAGCGGUAGCACAGAAGAGCUUGCUCUUUGGGUGACGAGCGGCGGACGGGUGAGUAAUGUCUGGGAAACUGCCUGAUGGAGGGGGAUAACUACUGGAAACGGUAGCUAAUACCGCAUAACCUCGCAAGAGCAAAGAGGGGGACCUUUGGGCCUCUCGCCAUCAGAUGUGCCCAGAUGGGAUUAGCUAGUAGGUGAGGUAAUGGCUCACCUAGGCGACGAUCCCUAGCUGGUCUGAGAGGAUGACCAGCCACACUGGAACUGAGACACGGUCCAGACUCCUACGGGAGGCAGCAGUGGGGAAUAUUGCACAAUGGGCGCAAGCCUGAUGCAGCCAUGCCGCGUGUGUGAAGAAGGCCUUCGGGUUGUAAAGCACUUUCAGCGAGGAGGAAGGCGGUAAGGUUAAUAACCUUAUCGAUUGACGUUACUCGCAGAAGAAGCACCGGCUAACUCCGUGCCAGCAGCCGCGGUAAUACGGAGGGUGCAAGCGUUAAUCGGAAUGACUGGGCGUAAAGCGCACGCAGGCGGUCUGUUAAGUUGGAUGUGAAAUCCCCGGGCUUAACCUGGGAACUGCAUUCAAAACUGACAGGCUAGAGUCUUGUAGAGGGGGGUAGAAUUCCAGGUGUAGCGGUGAAAUGCGUAGAGAUCUGGAGGAAUACCGGUGGCGAAGGCGGCCCCCUGGACAAAGACUGACGCUCAGGUGCGAAAGCGUGGGGAGCAAACAGGAUUAGAUACCCUGGUAGUCCACGCUGUAAACGAUGUCGAUUUGGAGGUUGUGCCCUUGAGGCGUGGCUUCCGGAGCUAACGCGUUAAAUCGACCGCCUGGGGAGUACGGCCGCAAGGUUAAAACUCAAAUGAAUUGACGGGGGCCCGCACAAGCGGUGGAGCAUGUGGUUUAAUUCGAUGCAACGCGAAGAACCUUACCUACUCUUGACAUCCAGAGAACUUUCCAGAGAUGGAUUGGUGCCUUCGGGAACUCUGAGACAGGUGCUGCAUGGCUGUCGUCAGCUCGUGUUGUGAAAUGUUGGGUUAAGUCCCGCAACGAGCGCAACCCUUAUCCUUUGUUGCCAGCGAUUCGGUCGGGAACUCAAAGGAGACUGCCGGUGAUAAACCGGAGGAAGGUGGGGAUGACGUCAAGUCAUCAUGGCCCUUACGAGUAGGGCUACACACGUGCUACAAUGGCGUAUACAAAGAGAAGCGACCUCGCGAGAGCAAGCGGACCUCAUAAAGUACGUCGUAGUCCGGAUUGGAGUCUGCAACUCGACUCCAUGAAGUCGGAAUCGCUAGUAAUCGUAGAUCAGAAUGCUACGGUGAAUACGUUCCCGGGCCUUGUACACACCGCCCGUCACACCAUGGGAGUGGGUUGCAAAAGAAGUAGGUAGCUUAACCUUCGGGAGGGCGCUUACCACUUUGUGAUUCAUGACUGGGGUGAAGUCGUAACAAGGUAACCGUAGGGGAACCUGCGGUUGGAUCACCUCCUUACC